GACGAACGCUGGCGGCGCGCCUAACACAUGCAAGUCGAACGGAGCUGAGAGAAGCUUGCUUUUCUUAGCUUAGUGGCGAACGGGUGAGUAACGCGUGAGUAACCUGCCCUGGAGUGGGGGACAACAGUUGGAAACGACUGCUAAUACCGCAUAAGCCCACGAUCCGGCAUCGGAUUGAGGGAAAAGGAUUUAUUCGCUUCAGGAUGGACUCGCAUCCAAUUAGCUAGUUGGUGAGGUAACGGCCCACCAAGGCGACGAUUGGUAGCCGGACUGAGAGGUUGAACGGCCACAUUGGGACUGAGACACGGCCCAGACUCCUACGGGAGGCAGCAGUGGGGGAUAUUGCACAAUGGGGGAAACCCUGAUGCAGCGACGCCGCGUGGAGGAAGAAGGUUUUCGGAUUGUAAACUCCUGUCGUUAGGGACGAUAAUGACGGUACCUAACAAGAAAGCACCGGCUAACUACGUG
rnacentral:rRNA from 1 species